GGCUGGAUGGCCGAGCGGUCUAAGGCGCUAGACUCAAGAACAAAGUUCUUCUGCACUCAGUGCGGUGUAUUCUAGUAUCGCAAGAUGCGUGGGUUCGAAUCCCACUCCAGUCA
rnacentral:tRNA from 1 species